rnacentral:tRNA from 1 species
GAGAUUAGCUUGGUUGGUUAGAGCAUGGGGUUAAUAACACCAAGGUUGUGGGUUCGAUCCCCACACUCA